rnacentral:lncRNA from 1 species
AAGCUUUAAGACCCGGGGUGGAAUGAAACAAAAGAGGAAGGAGUCCAGGGGUGUUUUAGCGUAAUCAUGCUGGCUCAUGCCGCUGAAGGAACAGCUGGGAUUGAGAACUCACUGCUGUGAGGAAACUUGCAAUUGUAUUCCCAUCCCACAGUCACCAGUGGACAGUUAUUCCUUGAUAUCUAUUUAUGGAGAAUUGCUUGUGGGACACCUGUGGAUACCAAAAUUAGUGGAUGCUCAAGUCCAGUAGAAGAAAUGGAGUACUAUUUCCAUAUAAUCUAUGCAUAUCCUCCCUUACACUUUAAAUCAUGUCUUGAUUAUUUAUAAUAGCAAAUAUAAUGUAAAUGUGCUAUAAAUAGUUAUUAUUCUGUACUUUUUGUGUGUACUUUUAAAAUUGACUUAUUUUUAAUUUUCUUUAAAUACUUUUGAUUUGCGGUUGGUUGAAUCUGAGGCUAUGAAAGCUACAGACGUACUCAGAAAUACACUAUCUUUAUGAUGUCUUUUAAUUUUCAUAGUGUACUUUGAAUACACCAUUACAUCUGCUUUGAAUAUAUUUUUAUAGAAUUAUGACCUUUGAACUGUUGGACAUUUCUUAUUUUCUUGAUUUGACAAGUUCAGUGUUAACAGAAUGCCUGAUCAGGUUUCAGUUUUAAAAGCCAUCUCUUCAGAGUGUGGAUCAGCAUUAGGGUGAGAAGUAUUAGGUUGGUGCAAACAUAACUGCGUUUUUUGCCAUUACUACGGAAUCGAGGAGAAUAGAAAAUAAAGAUCUUCACAGAAUCAUGACAUGACUAUUAUCUAUCUUUUAAGUUACUUUAUUCAG